GUUAAAAAGCUCGUAGUUGGAUUUCUGCUGAGGACGACCGGUCCGUUCUCCGGGUGAGCAUCUGGUUCGGCCUUGGCAUCUUCUUGGUGAACGUAGCUGCACUUGACUGUGUGGUGCGGUACCCAGGACUUUUACUUUGAGGAAAUUAGAGUGUUUCAAGCAGGCAUACGCCUUGAAUACAUUAGCAUGGAAUAAUAAGAUAGGACCUCGGUUCUAUUUUGUUGGUUUCUAGAGCUGAGGUAAUGAUUAAUAGGG
rnacentral:rRNA from 1 species